UACAGAGGGUGCAAGCGUUAAUCGGAAUUACUGGGCGUAAAGCGCACGUAGGCGGACAUUUUAAGUCAGGGGUGAAAUCCCAGAGCUCAACUCUGGAACUGCCUUUGAUACUGGGUGUCUUGAGUAUGGAAGAGGUGAGUGGAAUUCCGAGUGUAGAGGUGAAAUUCGUAGAUAUUCGGAGGAACACCAGUGGCGAAGGCGCUCACUGGUCCAUUACUGACGCUGAGGUGCGAAAGCGUGGGGAGCAAACAGG
rnacentral:rRNA from 1 species